rnacentral:SRP_RNA from 1 species
GCCAGGCGUGGUGGUGCACGCCUGUAAUCCCAGCUACUCAGGAGGCUAAGGCAGGAGGAUCACUUGAACCCAGGAGGCAGAGGUUGCAGUGAGCCAAGAUUGCGCCACUGCACCCCAACCUGGGCGACAGAGUGAGACUCUGUCUCAA